GACAACUGCGUAUGUGCCAGAGCUGCAAAAGCUAAGUGGAUUGCAAAAGUUAAAAGAAGUCGGUAAAGCUAAAGGGAAAACCUCAAAGAAAGCAAAGUGCAAAGUUGGUGAAAAAAGAAUUUUGGCAGCGAGAAGAGAAAGGUUCGAUCGGCAUAUUCACAAUACGUGAUGUUGUUGCUAAAACUAAGCUACUCGGUUCUAUCAUAUCUCAACAAGGUCAACUACAUAAAUGCACAUGCAACUUCCACUCUUGUGGGGGGCUUGGUAGAGAUUAAUGCUAUCAAAAAGGUUUUCAAGAACACCUCUGGCAUCAAAAUUAAUGCCACGAAGUCUAUGAUAGGGCACUGCCUUGAUGCAGUUGGGGUUUUUGAAGCUAUUGCCACUGUAAAAGCCAUAACAGGAUGGCUGCAUUCACCAAUCAAUCAAUUC